GACAAUUCUUAUAUUGUCUCUCUUUGCUCUAUUUUCCAGGUAGUUUGCUUUUGUAAUAAGAUAUUUCAUAUUCUCCCUGAAUCAGUUCAAUUUAAAGAUACCAACAGACUGGACCAUGCAGGCAGUGGAACAAGACUGCUUCCAACCUCAUGGAUUUACAUUUUCUUUCCUGGACCCACACCACACUUGCCUGAUAUAGGCUAUAUCAGUGGUUUUAUGGAAUACAUACUGUAAGAGAGGAAUCAGAUCCAAGGUGCAAGGAGCAGAGAAAAAAGGAGCAGAAAAGCAGGGAAAGGUGUGAGAAGAGAAAAAAAAACUCAAGAUUCCAGUGAGAGAAGAGAAGCUGAGAGAACUCCAACUACUACUUCACUUCUUUAGCUGGGAGGAGCAGACCUCCUAAGCUGGGAGAAAGCUUGGAUCUCUCUGAAGAUCAACUGCUUUCCUUUUGAACCCCUGAAUAUCUCUCACUCAGCUUAAGAUAUUGUGAAAUGGGACUUUGAAGAAAGCCAUCUACAGAGAAAUUCUCUCUCCAAAGAUUUAUUCCCUUUCCCUCUCCCUAACUUGUCCUGGACUCCAUUACUCAAGGCAGUUAGCUCAGGAGCAGGGACCAAACCAGCAUCUGACCGGAAAAGGGGCCAAAAGAGCCUGAAUCCUGAAAGUUUGGGGGGGGGUCAGUCUGCCAGUCAAUAGGGCUUCCUGUUUACCCAUUUUACUCACCUGUCACCCCUACCUCCCCCUUUCUUGUGUGAACCCAAAUAAAGUAUCUACUACUUAGAAUCA
rnacentral:lncRNA from 1 species